rnacentral:rRNA from 1 species
GAUACCCCUGUAGUCCUGGCCGUAAACGAUGAACACUAGGUGUCGGGGGAAUCGACCCCCUCGGUGUCGUAGCCAACGCGUUAAGUGUUCCGCCUGGGGAGUACGCACGCAAGUGUGAAACUCAAAGGAAUUGACGGGGGCCCGCACAAGCGGUGGAGUAUGUGGUUUAAUUCGAUGCAACGCGAAGAACCUUACCAGGGUUUGGCAUCCUGCGAAUCCCUUGGAAACUUGGGAGUGCCUUCGGGAGCGCAGUGACAGGUGGUGCAUGGCUGUCGUCAGCUCGUGUCGUGAGAUGUUGGGUUAAGUCCCGCAACGAGCGCAACCCACGUCUUUAGUUGCCAGCAUUUAGUUGGGCACUCUAGAGAGACUGCCGGUGAUAAACCGGAGGAAGGUGUGGAUGACGUCAAGUCAUCAUGCCCCUUACAUCCUGGGCUACACACGUACUACAAUGCUACGGACAAAGGGCAGCAAACUCGCGAGAGCUAGCAAAUCCCAUAAACCGUGGCUCAGUUCAGAUCGUAGGCUGCAACUCGCCUACGUGAAGGAGGAAUCGCUAGUAAUCGCAGGUCAGCAUACUGCGGUGAAUACGUUCCCGGGCCUUGUACACACCGCCCGUCACACCAUGGAAGUUGGCCACGCCCGAAGUCGUUACUCCAACCCUUGUGGAGGAGGAUGCCGAAGGUGGGGCUGAUGACUGGGGUGAAGUCGUAACAAGGUAGCCGUACCGGAAGGUGC